GUCAGGACAGGCAGAGUGGUCAGGCAGGUGGGCUCAGAGUCAGGACAGGCAGAGUGGUCAGGCAGGUGGGCUCAGAGUCAGGGCAGGCAGAGCGGUCAGGCAGGUGGGCUCAGAGUCAGGACAGGCAGAGUGGUCAGGCAGGUGGGCUCAGAGUCAGGACAGGCAGAGUGGUCAGGCAGGUGGGCUCAGAGUCAGGACAGGCAGAGCGGUCAGGCAGGUGGGCUCAGAGUCAGGGCAGGCAGAGCGGUCAGGCAGGUGGGCUCAGAGUCAGCACAGGCAGAGUGGUCAGGCAGGUGGGCUCAGAGUCAGGACAGGCAGAGUGGUCAGGCAGGUGGGCUCAGAGUCAGGACAGGCAGAGUGGUCAGGCAGGCGGGCUCAGAGUCAGGACAGGCAGAGUGGUCAGGCAGGCGAGCUCAGAGUCAGGGCAGGCAGAGUGGUCAGGCAGGCGGGCUCAGAGUCAGGACAGGCAGAGUUGUCAGGCAGGUGGGCUCAGAGUCAGGACAGGCAG
ensembl:lncRNA